rnacentral:rRNA from 1 species
GACGAACGCUGGCGGCGUGCCUAACACAUGCAAGUCGAGCGGAAGGGCGAGAAGCUUGUUGCUUUCUUGUUAGCGGCGCACGGGUGAGUAACAUGUGUAUCACCUACUUAUAAGUCUGGUAAAUUCACGGGACACCGGAGCAUACAGCGUAGAAUCUCUUGAUCCGUGGUGUGCAAUGGAGAAUGACGGCGGUGCUGGCACUUCUCGAUGCAUCUGCGCUGCAUUAGGUAGUUGGUAAGGUAACGGCCUACCACGGGAACGAUGCGUAGCCGAGCGGAGAGGGUGAUCGGCCACACGGGAACUGAGACGCGGUCCAGGGUCCUAAGGGACGCAGCAGUAGGGAAUGUGAGGCAAUGGGCGAAAGCCUGACGGAGCGAGGCCACGUGAGUGAUGGAGGUCUUCGGAGCGUAAAACUCUGUUAUUAGGGAAAAACAGAUGUGUAAGUAACUGUGCACAGCUUGACGGUACCUAAUAAAAAAGCAACGGCUAACUACGUG